ACGGGAGGCAGCAGUGGGGAAUAUUGCACAAUGGGGGAAACCCUGAUGCAGCGACGCCGCGUGAGUGAAGAAGUUAUUCGUAAUGUAAAGCUCUAUCAGCAGGGAAGAAAAUGACGGUACCUGACUAAGAAGCCCCGGCUAACUACGUGCCAGCAGCCGCGGUAAUACGGAGGGGGCAAGCGUUAUCCGGAUUUACUGGGUGUAAAGGGAGCGUAGACGGUCUGGCAAGUCUGAUGUGAAAGGCAGGGGCUCAACUCCUGGACUGCAUUGGAAACUGUCAGUCUUGAGUGCCGGAGAGGUAAGCGGAAUUCCUAGUGUAGCGGUGAAAUGCGUAGAUAUUAGGAGGAACACCAGUGGCGAAGGCGGCUUACUGGACGGUAACUGACGUUGAGGCUCGAAAGCGUGGGUAGCAAACAGGAUUAGAUACCCUGGUA
rnacentral:rRNA from 1 species